rnacentral:rRNA from 1 species
AGAGAAUAGAUACCCGGGUAGUCCACGCCGUAAACGAUGAGAACUAGGUGUUGGGCAGCUUGUCUGCUUAGUGCCGUAGCUAACGCGUUAAGUUCUCCGCCUGGGGAGUACGGUCGCAAGAUUAAAAACUCAAAGGAAUUGACGGGGGCCCGCACAAGCGGUGGAGCAUGUGGUUUAAAUUCGAUGCAACGCGAAGAACCUUACCUACUCUUGACAUCCUGGGAAUCCUACGUAAUGGUGGGAGUGCCUUCGGGAACCCAGAGACAGGUGCUGCAUGGCUGUCGUCAGCUCGUGUCGUGAGAUGUUGGGUUAAGUCCCGUAACGAGCGCAACCCUUAUCCUUAGUUACUAACGGUUCGGCCGAGGACUCUAAGGAGACUGCCGGUGAUAAACCCGGAGGAAGGUGGGGAUGAUGUCAAGUCAUCAUGGCCCUUACGAGUAGGGCUACACACGUGCUACAAUGGGGCGUACAAAGAGUUGCCAACCCGCGAGGGGGUAGCCAACCUCAUAAACGCGCCUCGUAGUCCAGAUUGGAGUCUGCAACUCGACUCC